rnacentral:rRNA from 1 species
GGGGGGGGCGGGGGGGGGGCGGAACGGGGGGGGGGCGAGGGGGAACGGGGAGAGAGCUUGCGCUCUUAGUCGUCGACCGGCGCACGGGUGAGUAACGCGUAUCCAACCUGCCUCUGACCAAGGGAUAACCCGUCGAAAGUCGGACUAAUACCUUAUGCAGUCGUCGGAAGUCAUCUGAUGACGACGAAAGAUUUCAUCGGUGAGAGAUGGGGAUGCGUCUGAUUAGCUUGUUGGCGGGGUAACGGCCCACCAAGGCGACGAUCAGUAGGGGUUCUGAGAGGAAGGUCCCCCACAUUGGAACUGAGACACGGUCCAAACUCCUACGGGAGGCAGCAGUGAGGAAUAUUGGUCAAUGGGCGUAAGCCUGAACCAGCCAAGUAGCGUGCAGGAUGACGGCCCUAUGGGUUGUAAACUGCUUUUAGGCGGGGAUAAAGUGAGGGACGUGUCCUUCAUUGCAGGUACCGCAUGAAUAAGGACCGGCUAAUUCCGUG